GUCUACGGCCAUACCACCCUGAACGCGCCAGAUCUCGUCUGAUCUCGGAAGCUAAGCAGGGUCGGGCCUGGUUAGUACUUGGAUGGGAGACCACCUGGGAAUACCGGGUGCUGUAGGCU
rnacentral:rRNA from 1 species